UUCUGUCUAGUAGCGCAUGGGCCGGGCCAUUAGGAGGAGGCACGGUUGACGAGGUGGAGGCUGUUCGGAUCAAGUCAGCGGGGAGCCUCCAGGGUAUGUCACUACCCUGAGAAGAUAACGGACAAAUCCAGGUGGUAACACCUGGCACAAAACGUUAUCGGUGAUGCUG
rnacentral:ncRNA from 2 species